GUUAUUAUCCUUCCUGUAUGAGUGAAGGGCAGCAGAACAUACCUAGUCCAUCCUGAUGGAGGGGUGGGUAGGUGAGGAAUAGCUUUUACUGAACUGCAAAGAAGUGACUGAGAACAUCACCCUAAACCAGUGGUCCCCAAACAUUUCACACUGUGCCCUCUUAUCCAUGGCUGUGGACCCUCGGAAGCCGCUGUCAAGAACCGGGGCUGGGAAUGGGGCUGUUGCUUGCUGAAGAGAGGGUGCAGAUGGGUAAGGGGGUCAAGGCUGAGCUAGAAGCCAGAGCCCCAGGCUGAGGGUUGAGUUGGAAAUAGCUGGGACAGAGUGGGGCUGAGUGGUGCUCCCUCCAUAGGGGCUGGCUCAGGCCCUGAGAUGCCUCCAUGAAUGUUCCUCUGUGUCCCCCUAGGAGUCAUGCCCCACAUUAUGGGAACCACUGAACCCUACUCACUAAUCAGGGGCUAGUGAUGCCAAAGCCCAGGGAAAGAGAGAACAAGUGCAGGGCCUCCAGCACUGGAACCAUGUGAAGGGGCUGCAGGAGAGGGGCAAUGGCUGGUGGCACAGGGAGUUAA